UCCUGUCGGGGGCGCUGAGGUGAUUCGCUAAUGAUCAUAUAGAGACCGGCGGAAAAAAAAGUACAUAUUACAUGGUUCGUGACCCACACUUCAUGUUACGAAGCCUCUAAGGAUACAAGAUGACAGUACAAUAAUUUCCAGUAACAAGGCUCCGGCUAUACCUUUUUACAAAAACAAAAAUAAGACUCCAAAAUACAAGAACGAGGGUGGCAUGAGCCACGCCGGGCCCCGAAGGAAAGGGGCUCACAAAUAGAGCUGACAGGGAAUGAGGAAGAUCUACUGAUGGUGGACUGGGGUACCUGCUGAAGAUCCACCUACAAUCAUAACACGAAUGUAGCGCCCCCGGCAAAAGGGACGUNNNNNNNNNNNNNNNNNNNNNNNNNNNNNNNNNNNNNNNNNNNNNNNNNNNNNNNNNNNNNNNNNNNNNNNNNNNNNNNNNNNNNNNNNNNNNNNNAAUUUAGCAUACAAUAUUUGAAUUGUACUGGUAUGUAUGAAUAAAACUUUUCCCAUGUAAACUCAAGCCAUAAAGCAAAUAGAACACAGCAAUGGAAGCAUCAACCAAACACACACAUAGAGGGUACAAUUAGUCAAACAAAUGGGCAAUUAGUGCCCUACAGGAUACAAACUCUCUUGCUGUCUCCUUUCACGAUUCCAUAUCAUUGAUUUCAUAAUUUUGUUCUACGUGUGUGUAUGUAUAUAUAUAUAUANNNNNNNNNNNNNNNNNNNNNNNNNNNNNNNNNNNNNNNNNNNNNNNNNNNNNNNNNNNNGUCUCCUUUCACAUUUUCACAUUUAUCAUUUCAUGAUUCAUAUUCAUAUCAAUAGUGAUAUUGGAUCACAUUUUCCACCCUUAUUGCCUCCUCCGCCCUUAUUACCUCGGCCACCCUUAUUACCUCGGCCACCCUUAUCACACCAACCUACACCUUAUUUCACCGUGUUGCGUCGCGCAACCUGACCCCGCCGUACAGCUUCAAUUCACAACAGACACAACCAAACAACAAGUCACAAACAUAAACAACAAGUACAUCUCAAGACGUCGCCACAAUAGUGUUACAGUACUGAUUUCAUUACGUUCAACAAUUCAUACUCAAUUCAAGUUACCAUAAUUACCCACAACAUUUCAAGUACAUUGUGACCACAAUUUACGGGUUCCUUCAAUCACUUUUUAUUCAACUUUUACCACAAGGUGUUUUCACAAUCAAGCCAGUCACAAGAAACUCACCAAUAACUAACGCAUAUAUCAACUACAAAACAAUUCACAUACCAAGCAAGGCGAUUUCACAAGAAUCAAGGUUAGCUAUACAUACCUGGAGUCGAAUUUCCUUUUUAUGCUCCUAUUCUCAGUCACCAAGCUAUCUAGAACAUCCCUCUACUUCUAUCCAAUUUUCCCUUCACUAGUUUCUAGGUUUGAGUGACAUGCAUGAGGUUUUUCAGUUGUAAGUUCAAAAUUAAAGCAUCAGAUUCCCUUCCCUUGACUAAACAUAGAAAAAUAGGGGAAAGAUUUAGGGGUCUUACCUGAAAGAGUGGAGAUGGAGACAAUAACUUAAAAUAUUUCGGCCCGGAUGGUUUUGGAGGAUCAAUUUGAUGGAAAUUACUUUCUCUCUCAAGAACCCUCCCUUCCCUCUCUCUUGUUUUGUUUAGAAAAUGUGUAAAAAUGAGGGGUUAGGGUGUUUUAUUAGAAAAGGGUCAGGCUUAAAUUUUUAGAAAACUGAUGUUCGCGACGGAUCUGCGGACAAAUAUGCGAUCGCAUAGCUGACAUGCCGUCUGCAUAUUGGACCGCAGAAUGGUCUCAAAUUGCAAGCCUCUCUGUUUGGGUAUGCGGUGAGAAUGCGGUCCGCAUACACGUUCUGCGAUCGCAGAUUGCACAGCAGAAUUGACCUCCACAAAUCCUCGAGAAAUUUAGGGGAUGACUAUGCGGUCCGCAUAUUUGUUAUGUGACCGCAUAAUGGAACGCGUUUUCAACAUCCAAUUUGUCUAAUCUUUGAUUCACUCUGCGGUCGAUAUGUGCUCCGCAUACCUGAUCUGCGAAUGCAUUCCUGACCGCAGAACGAUGUUUUCCGGAAAUAUUUGACUCUAGAUUUUUAAGUGUAAAAUUUGUAGAAAAUUAUUCCGACACAUCGAUGGACCCGACUCCAUGAGUUGUUAGGACUUGAGCACUCAUUUUCACGGGGUCUUACAUCCUUCCCCGCUUAAGAUCAUUCUUCCUUGAAUGAGAACUUCAAAAUUCAAAUGGUUUGAAAGCAUGAUAUGCAAGUUCCGAAGUUUUCACUAACUAUUAUGAUUUAGAAAGAAAUUUCGCCAGAGUUUCCUUUGUAAUAUGGACUUAUCCACCUGUCAGCGAGUCCCAAAAACAGAUGUCCAAGCACCAUUAGACAAUUCUUGCUACCCCGAUCACAGUUAUACAAUGCACGACCUUCACAUAUAUACGUAUUCAACCUCUCGAUACACUUUUAAGCAUUUUGGCACACCACAUGUAAUUAAAUUAAGCAUUAAUCAUUUGUACUAUCAAAGCCAUUUACAUAUCACAAGAGUAUGAUACAAUUAAUCAUUUCAAUACAAUUCCUCCAUGCAAAAUUAAUCACUGUUUCCUUACAUCACCUUACCAUGGGCUAAUUAUCUACCAAAAAACACAAAAAAAUUUGGGCACAACUUGAAGAGUUACAAUGGUGAAGUAUUUAGGAACUUUUACACAAAAUGGGAAACAAUGCUAGUUUGCUUAGGAAUAAGGAAUUACAUGAUAACUCCUAGGCUUAUAUGAACAAAUUGGGGUAUUUUACUUUCAUCUCAUCUUUCGCUUCCCACGUGGCCUCUUUGACUUGUUGGUUUUGCAAAACCACCUUAACCGAAACAAUUUCCUUAUUUCGCAACCUAAAUAAUUGUCUAUCCAAAAUAGCAAAUGGAGUCUCUUCAUAUGAUAGCUCUUCAGUGACCAUGAUGCCUUCAACUGGCACGAUGGUGGACGGAUCCCCUACCACUUUCCUUAACAUGGACACAUGGAACACCGGGUAAACUAUGGACAUUUCAGGAGGCAACUCCAACCUAUAAGCCACUUUUCCGACCUUCGAAUAAUCUAAUAAGGCCCGACAUACCUAGGACUUAGCUUCCCCUUCUUCCCAAUCUGCAUGACUCGUUUCAUGGGAGACACCCGCAAGAAUACCCAAUCACCUUCUUGAAACAUCAAUUCCGUUCGAUGCACAUCCACAUAGGAUUUAUGGCGACUCUGAGCAGUCUUCAUCCUUUCUUGAAUGACAUUAACUUUUUCCAUGGCCUGGUGCACAUGAUCCGGCCCUAUCAAUUCUACCUCACCUACUUCGAACCACCUGAUCGGGGAUCUGCAGCUCCUCCUGUACAAUGCUUCAAAUGGGGCCAUCUGGAUGCUAGCAUGGAAGCUGUUAUUGUUAGCAAAUUCUAUAAGGGGCAAAUGAUCAUCCCAAUUACCCUUGAAAUCCAAGACACAAGCCAGCAACAUAUCUUUGAGAGUCUGAAUAGUCCGCUCUGCUUGACCAUCAGUCUAUGGAUGAAACGUCGUGCUGAGGUUCACCUGAGUACCCAACCCUUGUUGAAAUUUCAUCCAAAAGUUAGUUGUGAAUUGAGCCCCUCGAUCCGAAAUAAUAUAAAGUGGAGUACCAUGAAGUAUCACUAUUUCCUUGAUUUACAAUCGAGCAUAUUGUUCUGCAGUAUCGGUGGACUUGACAGGCAAGAAGUGAGCUGAUUUGGUAAGUCGAUCAACUAUUACCCAAAUUGAGUCGAACUUAUGCUGAGUGCGAGGUAGUCCUGUCACAAAAUCCAUAUUUAUCAUCUCCCAUUUCCACAUUGGUAUCUCUAUUAGAUGGGUUAGCCCACCGGGCCGCUGAUGCUCGGCCUUUACUUGCUGACAGUUCGAACACUUUGAUACGAAGUCUGCCACAUCCCUCUUCAUACCGCUCCACCAAUAAAUUUCCUUGAGAUAGUGAUACAUUUUUGUAUAACCUGGAUGCACCGAAUACCUAGAAUGAUGAGCCUCCACCAUUACCCUUUCCCAAAGAUUAUAUACAUCUGGAACACACAACCUAUCUUGCCAUCGCAACACACCAUCAUUGAUGUUGAGAGAAAAUGCUGAAAUCUUGCUGCUCCGAACCGCCUCCUUUAUUUGUGCUAAUGCUGGAUCAAUGAACUGCUUUUCCUUGACUUCCACUACAAGCGACGACCCUUCUACGUUGUGCACCAUAAUCGCCUCCUCAUUUGGGGUCGAGAUACAAACCCCAAGACUGGACAACUGAUAAACCUCUCGAGCUAGGAACCUCCGAUCUGAUCCCAAGUGAGCCAAACUACCAACGAAUUCCCGAAUGAGGGCUUCAGCCACCACGUUCGCCUUCCCUAGAUGGUGCAAGAUGUUCCUAUCAUAAUCCUUGAGUAAUUCUAACCACCGCCACUGCCUCAAGUUUAACUCCUUCUACUUGAAAAAAUAUUGGAGACUUUUGUGGUCCGAGAACACAUCCACAUGGACCCCAUAAAGGUAAUGCCGCCACUUUUUUAAGGCGAACACAACAGCUGCAAGCUCCAAAUCAUGCGUCGGGUAAUUUUUCUCGUGAUUCUUGAGUUGCCUUGAAGCAUACACUAUAACCUUCCCAUUUUGCAUGAGCACACAACCUAAACCGACCCUGGAGGCAUAUUUAAGGCGAACACAACUGCUGCAAGCUCCAAAUCAUGCGUUGGGUAAUUUUUCUCAGGAUCCUUGAGUUUCCUUGAAUAAUACGCUAUAAGCUUCCCGCGCUACAUGAGAACACACCCUAAACCGACCUUGGAGGCAUCACAAUACACUAUAAACCCUUAUGUGCCUUCCGACAAAGCCAACACUGUUGCUGAGGUCAACCUUGACUUUAAUUCCUGAAAACUCUUCUCAAAAGCAUCAGACCAUUCGAACUUGACUAAUUUCGGUGUCAAUUAAGUUAAUGGGGAGUCAAGGGUAGAGAACCCCUCUAGAAACCUCCGAUAAUAACCUGCUAACCCCCAAAAGCUACGAAUCUCCAUCGGGGUUGUCGGUCUGAGCCAAUACUUCACUGCUGCAAUCAUUUUGUGGUCCGCUUGAAUCCCGUUUCCCGAAACAACAUGUCCUAGAAAAGUGACAGACUCCAACAAAAAUUCACAUUUUGAGAAUUUAGCAUACAAUUGGUGCUGAUGAAGAGUUUGCAAAACUGCCCUGAGGUGAUAGACAUGAUCCUCCCUGCUUCGCGAAUAAAUAAGGAUGUCCUCAAUAAAAACAACCACAAAGGAGUCCAGAAAUGGCUUGAAGACCCGAUUCAGAUCCUUGAAAGCUGCCGGGGUGUUGGUUAGCCCGAAAGACAUGACCAAGAAUUUGAAGUGAUCAUAGCGCGUUCUGAAGGCGGUUUUAGGAAUUUCCCGCUCUCUGAUCUUCAAUUGGUGAUGUCCGGAUCACAGUUAAAUUUUAGAGAAGAACUUUGCACCUUGCAAUUAGUCAAACAAAUCAUCUAUCUAGGGCAAAGGGUAUUUAUUCUUGAUGGUGAACUUGUUAAGCUGCCGAUAAUCGAUACACAUCCGAAGCGACCCAUCCUUCUUCCUGACGAAAAGAAGUGGAGCACCCCAUGGCGGCACACUUGGUCGAAUGAACACAAUACAGGAUGGCGCCAUCCUGUAUUGUGGAAUAGAUAUUGGCUGAGUAUCUGGAAACACAUCGAUCCCAAAGUCAAUCUCCCUAUCUGGCGGAAUCUCAGGAAGCUCAUCUAGAAAUACCUCCAGAAAUUCAUUUACAACUGGCAUGGAUCCGAGGGCAGGCACAUCUGAAGUAGUGUCCGACACCUAGAUAAAAUGAUAGAUACACCCCUUCCUAAUCAUCUUUGAAGCCUUAGGGUAAGAAAUAAACCUACCUUUUGGCACAACACCAUUCCCUCUCAACUCAAUAUCCGGCUCAUUGGGAAACUCGAGUCUCGUGACUCUUGUCCGACAAUCAGGUUAGUAAAGCACGAAUAAAGCUAGUCCAUUCACAUAAUCACAUCAAAAUCUACCAUCCCAAUCUCAAUUAGAUCAGUCGUGGUAACACGACCACACACCGUGACAACACAAUUCCUAUUAUCUCGCGCGGCUGUAACAGAAUCACCAAUCGGAGUCGACACAGAGAACGUCUCAAGAAGUCGUUCGUGCUCAAUAACAUAUGACAAAGAAGACCCAUGGACAAUAAGAGCAUAACAAUCAAUGGCCUGAACAGACAAGAUACAUGUAAUCACAUCUGGAGAAGACUCAACAUUCUGGAAACCACUCAAAGCAAAGAACCGACUCGGUCUACCUCUACCACGAGCCCCACCCCUAUCUGCACCACGCCAUGCUGGAGCUGGAAGACGCACAGAUGAUGUAGCAACUGAAGAACUGGAUGGCGGGGCGAAUCCCCUACCCAUGCCCUGUCUAGGUGCACUACAGUUCCUCUAAACAUGACCUCUCACCCCGCAAUAAUAACACACCGAGAUGUCCAAAUAGCAAGUCUCCAUGUGGAAUCUCCCGCACUUGGGACAUGUAGCUCCCCCUGCUGCUGUGGCCUCACCUUAUCUGAGUGCACAACAGUUCCGCUGGACAUGACCUCUUACCACACAAUUAUAACAGACCAGGAUGUCCAAAUAGCAAGUAUCGAUGUGCAACCUCCCACACUUGGGACAUGUAGCUCCCCCUGCUGCUAGGGCCUCACUCCUGAAUGAUUGGACUGGUUGAACCUCCUGCUGUCAGAACCUGGUCUCGAAGAACUAGCAUGCUGAUCACUAUGCAUAGAUGGUGGUGCGCUAGCUGAAGACUGGACAUAUGAUCGGGAUGGCCCUGAUGUCCCCCUCCCUUGAGCUGACCUCCCUGAGCGACACAUCGACCGAGCCCUGUUGCUAUUCUCCAUAUCUGCCAGUAUAUUCAAUUUCCUAGCCUUAGUGGCCUGAGCGAAACCCACAAUCUUCCCAUAGUUCAUAUAUGCGGGUAAUGCCGCUGUAGUAGCCUCAUUCACCAAUAAUGGACUAAGUCCCUGAACAAACCAUUGAACUCGAGCACUCAUGGUCGACACAACCUGAGGAGCAUACUUGGACAAUCAUACAAACUCCACAUGGUAUUCCCAAACAUUGAUGCUGCCCGCUUGAGAACCUCUAACUCGUUGGCGCGGGUUGCCAUUUUCUCGGCAGGAAAGAAAUUAUCCAUAAAAGCAUCCACAAAUUCCUCCCAUCUAGCCAGAGGGCUCCCCUCCUCGUAGUAACCCUCCCACUUCUUGAACCACGAACGUGCCAAUCCCUUCAACCAAUAGGAAGCCAACUCAAACCCCUCUAAUUCUGUGGCCUUCAUCACACGAAGGGUCUUGUACAUCUCAUCAAGAAAAUCCUACGGAUCGGCCUCUAGGUCUGCUCCUGAAAACUCUUGAAGGGUCAAUCUCAGAAACUGGUGGACUCUGGAGCUAGCAGAAUCUCCCUGCCCGUUGGAGGACAUAGGGGCAUCAUGAGAUCUCUGGGCCUGAGAAGCCGCCAACUAGGUCAACAUAUAGAUGGCUCCCCUAAGGUCCCCAUCAGAAGCCUAGGGACCGUGAGCUGAAACAAUGCCAGGAUUAGGAUAAUCGGCAGGAGGAUUGGUGACGCCCUCUGCCACUACUGGAACAGGAGUGCUAGGAUCCGGAAGGGACGAGCGAGGCAGAUUCAAAGCCGAGGAGUCACUCUCACCCAUGGCGUCAGGUACAUGGCUCGCAAUCACACUCGGGGUGGUGCUGGCCUCAAGGACGAGUAUAACCUUCUUCUUAGGUGCCAUCUAUGAAAAUUUCUGAACAAGGCACGAGUUAGACACAAACACUUUCACUUUUCACUUUAUCGCACGAAAUGGAAUAACAAGGAAAGAGUAGUUUCCUAAAUGCCCGUGUAGCCCCCUACUCAUAGAUGCGGUCGACAACACACCGAUAAUAACGGCUCUACUAGGCACGGCUCUGAGACACCCUAGGACUCUUAUUAAAACCUUAGUCUCUGAUACCAAGUUUGUCAUGCCCAAAAUCCAAGGGACAUGACUGGCACUCUACUGGGUAAUCCCCACUCGAGUGGACCUUGGUGCCUUCUCUGACCCACGAGUUACCCCACAUUUUUCAUUACUUUACUACCCAAAUGGAAACCACGGUUUAUAAUUGAAAUACCUUUUAACAUGCCAUACAUACAUACAUGAUAUUACGUGGUUUUCAAUUUAUGACACCCAAAACACAAGUACAUAUUACAUUGUUCGUGACCCACACUUCAUGUCUACGGAGCCUCCAAGGAUACAAGAUGAUAGUACUAUAAUUUCCGGUAACAAGUCUCCGAUGAUACCCUUUUACAAAAACCAAAAUAAGACUCCAAAAUACAAGAACGAGGGUGGCAUCAGCCACGCAGGGCCCCGUAAGGAAAGGGGAUCACCAAUGCAGCUCAUGCGGAAUGAGGAAGAGCUACGGAUGGUGGGCUGGAGUACCUUCUGAAGAUCCACCUACAAUCAUAACAUGAAUGUAGCGCCCCUAGCAAAAGAGACUCAACACAUUUGAAUUGUACUAGUAUGUAUGAACAAAACUUCUCCUAUGUAAACACAAGCCAUAUGCAAAUAGAACAGAGCAAUGGAAGUAGGAACCAAACACACACAUAGAGGGUACAAUUAGUCAAACAAAAGGGCAAUCAGUGCCCCAUAGGUUACAAACUCUCUUGCUGUCUACUUUCACAAUUCCACAUCAUUGAUUUCAGAAUUUUGUUCAAUUGGAUGGCAGGGCGAAUCCCCUACCCAUGCCUUAUCUGAGUGCACAACAGUUCCGCUGGACAUGACCUCUUACCACACAAUUAUAACAGACCAGGAUGUCCAAAUAGCAAGUAUCGAUGUGCAACCUCCCACACUUGGGACAUGUAGCUCCCCCUGCUGCUAGGGCCUCACUCCUGAAUGAUUGGACUGGUUGAACCUCCUGCUGUCAGAACCUUNNNNNNNNNNNNNNNNNNNNNNNNNNNNNNNNNNNNNNNNNNNNNNNNNNNNNNNNNNNNNNNNNNNNNNNNNNNNNNNNNNNNNNNNNNNNNNNNNNNNNNNNNNNNNNNNNNNNNNNNNNNNNNNNNNNNNNNNNNNNNNNNNNNNNNNNNNNNNNNNNNNNNNNNNNNNNNNNNNNNNNNNNNNNNNNNNNNNNNNNNNNNNNNNNNNNNNNNNNNNNNNNNNNNNNNNNNNNNNNNNNNNNNNNNNNNNNNNNNNNNNNNNNNNNNNNNNNNNNNNNNNNNNNNNNNNNNNNNNNNNNNNNNNNNNNNNNNNNNNNNNNNNNNNNNNNNNNNNNNNNNNNNNNNNNNNNNNNNNNNNNNNNNNNNNNNNNNNNNNNNNNNNNNNNNNNNNUUUUUUAACAAGAAUUAUAUAUAUAUAUAUAUAUAUAUAUAUCAAUAGUGAUUUCGAUCACUUUUUCCACCCUUCUUACAUCAGCCACCCUUAAUACCUCGUCCACCCUUAUCACACCAACCCACACCUUAUUUCACCAUGUUGCGAUGCGCAACCCGACCCUGCCGUACAGUUUCAAUUCACAACAAACAUAACCAAAUAGCAAGUCACAAAGAUAAACAACAAGUACACCUCAAGACAUCGCCACAAUAGUGUUACUAGUGUUUUCAUGACUAUUAGUACCGAUUUCAUUACGUUCAACAGUUCAUACUCAAUUCAAGUUACCACAAUAGCCCACAACAUUUCAAGUACAUUGUUAUAGCCAUUUACAGGUUCCUUUAAUAACUUGUUAUUCAAAUUUUACCACAAGGUGUAUUCACAAUCAAACCAGUCACAAGACACUCACCAAUAACCAACGAGGAUAUGAACUACCAAAUAAUUCACAUACCAAGCAAGGCGAUUUCACAAGAAUCAAGGUUAGCCAUACGUACCUGAAGUCGAAUUCCCUUUUUAAGCUUCUAUUCUCAGUCACCAAGCUAUCUAGCAUAGCCCUCUACUUCUAUCCAAUUUUCCCUUUACUAGAUUCUAGGUUUGAGUGACAUGCAUGAGGGUUUUUAGUUGUUUGUUCAAAAUUAAAGCAUAGGACUCCCUUCCCUUAACUUAACUCAGAAAAAUUGGGGAAAAGGUUAGAGGUCUUACCUGAAAGAGUGGAGAUGGAGACAAUAACUUCAAAUUUUCUGGCCCAGAUGGUUUUGGAGGAUCAAUUUGAUGGAAAUUUCUUUAUCUCUCAAGAACUCUCCCUUCCCUCUCUCUUGUUUUGUUCAGAAAAUUUUUAAAAGUGAGGGGUUGGAGUGUUUUAUUUGAAAAUAGUUGGGUUUAAAAUUUUUAGAAAAUUGAUGUUCGUGACAGAUCUGCGGUUAAAUAUGCGAUUGCAUAGCUGACAUUCGGUCCUUAUAUUGGACUGCAGAGUGGUCCCAAAUUGCACGCUUCUCUGUUUAGGUACGCGGUGAGAAUGUUGUCCGCAUAAACGUUCUGCAGUUGCAGAUUGCACCAUAGAAUUGACCUCCACAAUUCCUCGAGAAAUUAAUGUAAGUACUAUGCGGUCCGCAUAUUGGUUAUGCGAUUGCGUAAUGGACCGCAUUUUCAACAUCCAAUUUGGCUACUCUCUGAUUCACGCUGCGGUCGAUAUGCGGUCCGCAUACCUGAUCUGUGACAGCAUUCCUGACAGCAAAAUGACGUUUUUCGAGAAAAAAUUAACUCCAGAUUAUUAAGUGUAAAAUCAGAAAAAAAAGAUUCCGACACAUCGAUGGACCUGACUAUAUGAGUUUUUAGGACUUGAGCACUCAUUUUCACGGGGUCUUACAAAGAGCCUGCAUGAGAUCAUGGAUGGAGCCAUCAAUGUCAAAGCUUUCGAUGGUUCCCAAAGGUCCACUAUUGGGGAAAUAAAUUUGUAUCUGCAAAUGGGACUGUCUUUGUUCGACAUUGAUUUUUAUGUGGUAGACAUCCCAACUUCUUACAACUUGCUAUUGGAACGGCCCUGGAUUCAGGAUGCUGGAGAUGUAGCGUCAAUCCUACACCAGGCAGAUUGGAGAUGAAUCACCUAGAGGUAAUUAUUCAUGGCGACGGUAGCAAUUUCAUAUACAGUCGCCAGACCAUCCCGGAAAUCGUAGAAAGAAGGAAGAUAGGCGGAGAAACAUACCACCACAUUGAGCAAGUCAACACUAUUGAUUAGGACUGUCACACUUCCUUUUUCACUAGACCCGCAAGGGUGUAAAGGAGUUUUUCCAAUUAAAGGACAAUCAGAACGGGAUUUAUUAAUAAGAUUUUAGAGUCGCCACUCUGGAGAUUAAUGGUAUCCCAAGUCACAGGUUGAAUCCGGAAUUGAGGAAAAUAUGACUAUGUUAACAGUCCGCGAAUAUAAAAUCCGAGUAAGGAAUUCUAUUAACUGGGGAGAAGGAGUUAGGCAUUCCCGGGUUCCGUGGUUCUAGCAUGGUUGCUCAACUGCCGCAUUUGGAUUUAUGUGAUUAUAGAACAUGUUCUAGCUUAUGUGCUUUUUAUUGUAAACCGCUUUUGUUAUUAUUUUUUAACAAGAAUUGUAACGGCGUGAAAAUGCAUCUCGAACCACGCACAUGAAUGCACCCAUGGUUGUUGACACAUUUCGACUUUAUUGAGAUUUUGAAUUAGGUUGCAUAACUGCGCACCCGGGUUCAAGAAGGUAAUUUAAUAAAAGUGCGCCUAAAGCGACUAACACGUUAUCUUUGGAGAGGUUCGUGAAAUUCACUAGACAACCCAUCCCGAAUUUUAAGUGUUUUUAAUUAAAUAUUCAAUGAGGGCCCCGCAAAUUAUAUUUUUAUUUGGCGAGGCUCGUCUCAUUUUAUAUAAGGAUCAAUCCUAAGCGGCUAUGAUUUUCUAUUGGGUUUCGUCUCUAUCAAUCAAUUAACAUGCUUGAAAUGUCUAAAAGUCCAUAAGUCAAUUUCCUACAAAUAGGCCUAAUAACCGAAUCAAGUAUUUCAAAGCAAUUCAGGCCUCAUUUGAAAAGGGUGAGACUGCCUGGGCCGGGGCAAUCCCACUCUUACUUUUAAUUUGGAGCCGGUAAGCAUACAUUCAGUAAUUAAAUCAACAUAAACUGCAAUUAAUCUAUCUCAGACAAAGCUCAACUAUUUUAUGUGAUCUUCUAUAUGUUGCAAAGUGAAUUAGACGUGAAUACUCUAAUCCCAAAGAAUCAAUAUGACUUCAUGUUUAACCUGCAAAUUCGAGUUUUAACUUAAGUUAACCAUGAUUCAUUUUAGAUCUUCAAACAAUGUUGCUUCUAGAUCCAAUUAGACAAGCUCACAUGCUCAUGAGGAGCGUUUAUACACUACUGAAUAUAGUCUAAUUUUUCUAGUUAAUAUAGAUGGCACCUAUUUGAACAGCAGUCCCAAGCAAUUGUUUCAAGGCACAAACACAAACACAAUAAUCAAAUGAAUGAGUAUAAGCCUAUUAUCUCAUCAGUUCGAUGAUGUACAUCAUAGCCUAGUUUUACUAUAGAAUUUGAAUAUUGGAUACCAAAUGUAUGAAUCUACUUACACAAUCCAAAACCAAUUUAAUUAUACAAAAUCCAGCAGUGAAUUACACAAAAUCAGUGAAUGAAAUGGCAAGUAAACAACACAUGAAAAUAGCCAGAUCAGGAUUUAAGUUUCACCUCUUCAGAUAGACUCAUGCUUCAAUUUUUUAGCUUAUAAUUUCCAAAGAAACAGUCAUGUUCCUGCAAUAUAGAUCAAAAUAAGACGCAGGAGGUUAGUAGUAGUUAGAAGACGAUCACAGGCAGCCUAGAAGCAGAAUCGACAACCAGAAAUGUCGAAAACCCAAAACAGAAUUUGCAAUUAAUCCAGAACACACUUGGACAAACCCAAAAAGGCUCAAAACUACUCCCAACACAACUUUUGAAGCUAACAGACAACCAAAUACCCUAGAAUAGACUCAGCCAACCAACUACAACUCGAAAUCACCCAAAUAAACUCGAAGAUGAACCCAAAAUGCUUCAAAAGAAAAUGACUAAACCCAAACCAGUUCUGUUAUGCCCAAAAUCACUUUAACAAGGCAACAAAUCACUCCAGAAGCUUUUAGUAACUCGAAUUUAGCACAAAAAUAAAGACACUCAAUAAGGAAUUUAGAAAAGAUCUAAAUAGUCAAUGGAACAAUGAUUUUUUUUUAGUUUCUGCUUUUUUUUAUUUUCUCUUAAGGAAAGCUCAGAUAUAAAAGUAGUUUUGAGCUAUAAUUUGACUUCUCAGAUCUACAGGCUUAAGAAGUGUUUUUAAGGGGAAAUUUAUGGCUCAAAUCUUUUAGAUUUUUCUUCUAAAGCUGAGAGAAGGUUAUUGAACUUUGAAAAAUCAUAUAUGCCUCCUCCCUUUCUCAAAAGAGAACCCAUGCUUUUAUAGCAAGACCAAUAUAGUUACCUACUCCCCUAGACAAUACCUCCAAUUCCUCCACAUUCCUCACAUGUGACCUCCCCUAUCCACUAGAACCUUCCCUCAACAGAAAUUAAUUCCCUCCUAUAAUAAAUUUCCAAACUGACCCUCAAUCAAAUAUCUAACCUACCCUCUAAUACCCAGGUUAUUUACCCCUGUUAUUACCCUUUAAGAUUUCAGA
rnacentral:lncRNA from 1 species